rnacentral:misc_RNA from 1 species
UAUGAAAGCAGGCUGGAGUCCCCAUAAGUACAGUGCUUUGCCUCUUGCGUCCGCCACAACUGUGGUGCUGACGCGACUUUGGUAGGCGUAUUUCUGGCCAGUCUGUCUGAAUUAUUCACCCGUGUCUUUUGCGUACUUCUUGUUUCCUUGGUGGGCUCGCCCACCAUAAGGACAUUCAUCAACCUUUUUGUAGUUGCAAUCAGCGUCAGUAAAACAAUAAUAAUUACAACUUUCAACAACGGAUCUCUUGGUUCUGGCAUCGAUGAAGAACGCAGCGAAAUGCGAUAAGUAGUGUGAAUUGCAGAAUUCAGUGAAUCAUCGAAUCUUUGAACGCACAUUGCGCCCUUUGGUAUUCCAAAGGGCAUGCCUGUUCGAGCGUCAUUUGUACCCUCAAGCUUUGCUUGGUGUUGGGCGUUUUGUCUCCAGUCCGCUGGAGACUCGCCUUAAAAUCAUUGGCAGCCGGGCUACUGGUUUCGGAGCGCAGCACAAAUUGCACUUCUUCCA